UCUCUCUCUCUCUCUCUCUCUCUCUCUCUCUCUACUAUCUUUGCUCACGCCACACGCCCUUUCUCUUCUAUUCUCCUCUCUUUUCUUCUAAGUUCCUUUUAGAGAGAGAAAAUCUACACAAAGAAUGCAGAAACACUAAAACUUUUCACUGCAAAAUUCCGGCAUCUUCAGAAGCUUUCUGUGUAUAGAGUUUGAGGGUUUGCUUUUCUGUAGCUAGUUGGCACAACACUCCUGAUCAGUGACUACAAAAGGAAAUUUUGAUUGCACUUCUAAUUUAAUACAGCAUCUAGUUGGUUCCUAAUACAUGGGAAACAGUGAGGACGGAAAACCUUCUAAGCCUGAGAAAUCAUCUUCGCCUACACCGGACCAGAGCAAUCUCCAUGUCUAUCCUGAUUGGGCGGCCAUGCAGGCAUAUUAUGGUCCUCGAGUAGCUGUACCUACAUAUUUCAAUUCAGCCGUU